CCAGGAAUUUGUGGAGAAGAUUCCACCAGCCGGGCUGUGCCUGACACGCUUAGGAGGAGCUGUGGUGCAUAAGGCAACCUUUGAAGAUUACCGAGGUCUCCAGUCUCUCUAAGACUGGUUUUGGAUUCAAAAGUGGUGGAGGACAGAUCCUUGGAGGAGAAGAUGGCUAAUCUGAAGCUUCACGUUCAAGAAAGAGAGUUCCGGGCAGAGGCUGCAGCCCACAAAAAGG